AUUGAACGCUGGCGGCAGGCCUAACACAUGCAAGUCGAGCGGAGGGGCGGACGGGUGAGUAAUGCCUAGGAAUCUGCAUGGUAGUGGGGGAUAACGUACGGAAACGGGAGCUAAUACCGCAUACUAUCAGAAGAGCCUAGGUCGGAUUAGCUAGUGGGGGGGGUAAAGGCCUACCAAGGCGACGACCCUUAACUGGUCUGAGAGGAUGAUCAGUCACACUUGAACGUAGACACUGUCCAGACCCCUACGGGAGGCAGCAGUGGGGAAUAUUGGACAAUGGGCGAAAGCCGGAUCCAGCCAUGCCGCGUGUGUGAAGAAGGUCUUCGGAUUGUAAAGCUCUUUAAGUUGGGAGGCGUUACCAACAGAAUAAGCACCGGCUAACUUCGUGCCAGCAGCCGCGGUAAUAC
rnacentral:rRNA from 1 species